rnacentral:rRNA from 1 species
GCACCUUCGGGUGAGCGGCGGACGGGUUAGUAACGCGUGGGAACGUACCCAGAUCUAAGGAAUAGCCACUGGAAACGGUGAGUAAUACCUUAUACGCCCUUCGGGGGAAAGAUUUAUCGGAUUUGGAUCGGCCCGCGUUAGAUUAGGUAGUUGGUGGGGUAAUGGCCUACCAAGCCUACGAUCUAUAGCUGGUUUUAGAGGAUGAUCAGCAACACUGGGACUGAGACACGGCCCAGACUCCUACGGGAGGCAGCAGUGGGGAAUCUUAGACAAUGGGGGCAACCCUGAUCUAGCCAUGCCGCGUGAGUGAAGAAGGUCUUAGGAUCGUAAAGCUCUUUCGCCAGGGAUGAUAAUGACAGUACCUGGUAAAGAAACCCCGGCUAACUCCGUGCCAGCAGCCGCGGUAAUACGGAGGGGGUUAGCGUUGUUCGGAAUUACUGGGCGUAAAGCGCGCGUAGGCGGAUCAGAAAGUUGGGGGUGAAAUCCCAGGGCUCAACCCUGGAACUGCCUCCAAAACUCCUGGUCUUGAGUUCGAGAGAGGUGAGUGGAACUCCGAGUGUAGAGGUGAAAUUCGUAGAUAUUCGGAAGAACACCAGUGGCGAAGGCGGCUCACUGGCUCGAUACUGACGCUGAGGUGCGAAAGUGUGGGGAGCAAACAGGAUUAGAUACCCUGGUAGUCCACACCGUAAACGAUGAAUGCCAGUCGUCGGGUAGUAUACUAUUCGGUGACACACCUAACGGAUUAAGCAUUCCGCCUGGGGGAGUACGGUCGCAAGAUUAAAACUCAAAGGAAUUGACGG